rnacentral:rRNA from 1 species
UACGUAGGGGGCAAGCGUUGUCCGGAAUCAUUGGGCGUAAAGAGCGUGUAGGCGGUCCGAUAAGUCCGCUCUGAAAGCCCGGGGCUCAACCCCGGGAGGCGGGCGGAUACUGUCGGGCUAGAGUCCGGAAGAGGCAAGUGGAAUUCCUGGUGUAGCGGUGAAAUGCGCAGAUAUCAGGAGGAACACCGAUGGCGAAGGCGGCAUCCUGGACCGACACUGACGCUGAGGCGCGAAAGCUAGGGUAGCAAACGGG